rnacentral:rRNA from 1 species
CCUACGGGUGGCAGCAGUGGGGAAUAUUGGGCAAUGGGCGCAAGCCUGACCCAGCAACGCCGCGUGAAGGAAGAAGGCUUUCGGGUUGUAAACUUCUUUUCUCAGGGACGAAGAAAGUGACGGUACCUGAGGAAUAAGCCACGGCUAACUACGUGCCAGCAGCCGCGGUAAUACGUAGGUGGCAAGCGUUAUUCGGAUUUAUUGGGGGUAAAGGGCGUGUAGGCGGGUACGCAAGUCAGAUGUGAAAACCCAGGGCGCAACCCUGGGCCUGCAUUUGAAACUGUUUUUCGUGAGUGCUGGAGCGGCAAGCGGAAUUCCGAGUGUAGCGGUGAAAUGCGUAGAUAUAAGGAGGAACACCAGUGGCGAAGGCGGAUUGCUGGACAGUAACUGACGCUGAGGCGCGAAAGCGUGGGGAGCAAACAGGAUUAGAUACCCUUGUAGUC